ensembl:miRNA
UAUUAGGUUGGUGCAAAAGUAAUUGCAGUUUUUAUCAUUACUUUUUAAGGUCAAAAUCGCAAUUACUUUUGCACCAACCUAAUA